rnacentral:rRNA from 1 species
CGCCUGGGGAGUGCGGUCGCAAGAUUAAAACUCAAAGGAAUUGACGGGGGCCUGCACAAGCGGUGGAGCAUGUGGUUUAAUUCGAAGCAACGCGCAGAACCUUACCAGCCUUUGACAUCCUAGGACGACUUCUGGAGACAGAUUUCUUCCCUUCGGGGACCUAGUGACAGGUGCUGCAUGGCUGUCGUCAGCUCGUGUCGUGGGAUGUUGGGUUAAGUCCCGCAACGAGCGCAACCCUCGUCCUUAGUUGCCAUCAUUUAGUUGGGCACUUUAAGGAAACUGCCGGUGAUAAGCCGGAGGAAGGUGGGGAUGACGUCAAGUCCUCAUGGCCCUUACAGGCUGGGCUACACACGUGCUACAAUGGCAUCUACAGUGAGCAGCGAUCCCGCGAGGGUUAGCUAAUCUCCAAAAGAUGUCUCAGUUCGGAUUGUUCUCUGCAACUCGAGAGCAUGAAGGCGGAAUCGCUAGUAAUCGCGGAUCAGCAUGCCGCGGUGAAUACGUUCCCAGGCCUUGUACACACCGCCCGUCACACCAUGGGAGUUGGAUUCACCCGAAGGCGGUGCGCUAACCUUUUAGGAGGCAGCCGACCACGGUGGGUUCAGCGACUGGGGUGAAGUCGUAACAAGGUAACCGUA